GGCCACUGAAUAAGAAAGCUGACAGCCGAGGCAAAGAACACUCCGAAUGCGGAGUCAGUCUUUUGUGGCGCUGGACUAACUUACAGAUACUAAAUUGCAUGGAUGAUUAUGGUAGAAGAGAGGAGUAAAAGGCAGCAGCCUCAUGCAGUCUCUGGACUCCAUCAAAGCUUCUGGAAAGGACACUUGGCUGGGCUUUAGCAUGGAGAAGGAUGAGAUGAUUAAACGUG